CUCUGUCUGACUGGCACAUGGCCCUUUGCAGGCCUCUAACAGCAGCUGAAGGAGGACAGCAGGGGGGUCUGCCUGGACUUCAGUGAUACCAACCUGUUAGGGCUCCAGCUUUGAUGCUCUGAAGCUGCUGUUCCUGUUCUGUCACACAAUCAAACACAUCAGAGAGAAGCUGAGCUUUGAGAUUUGAUUCUUAACAUAUCAUGGUGUAUAAGAAAUCAGUAUCAGGCAAAAAAGAAAAAAAAAUGUGGGGAGGCAAGCAUAAAAGAGAGGAUCAGGAAAGAUAAGUGCAGGUCUUGAUCAAGGUGGCACUCAGCAUGUUCUUCCAGUGUCCACAUUGUCUUUCAGGAGCCAUCAGUUUCAAGACAUCAAUUUGUAUUUGAGGCCUUAGUCCAGCAAAUUGCUAAUGCAGAUUUUCUCCCUUCUGACAGUUAGUCUUAUUGAUGUUGAAAUGUUUUGAAGUUCAUUUUACUGCCUUUUUGUUAAUUUCCUGCUGUAGUUAGUCUAGCUUUUUACAUCAAGAUAUUUCAGCCCUUUCUCAAAGCAUACCCAUUACUGGGGUUUUUUUCAAUUUUUUUCAAAUUCCAGUUUCAUCUUUAAAAAUUAAUGAAUUGAAAUAAAUUUGUGCUGCACUGCUAAUAAAUAUCUCAAAGUCUGAAAGCAGCAUUUGCAUAGUAAAAGUCCCCAGUUUCCCCAGUAACAAAACUAUGAGGUGCAAACAGUAAUUACAGAAUUUUGGCUAUCUUUCUAAGCCACUCUGCAAUAUGACAUAAUUUGAAAAUGAGACUGAAAAAGCAUGUAAAGAAACAGAUAUUUUGUGUGUACAAGCAGCCAUAUUUUUUACAGGUACAGUGCAACAGGCUCAGCAUCACCCACAGGCAUUAGUAAAUCAUGGUAUCAGAAACAUGGAAAAUCUUCAGUUGGUAAAAACUCACAAGCAGGAAAGCCUGAAUCUCAACCUCAUUUCAGUCAGUGCCAGCCAAAGCAGCCACUGUUUGGGAGUGCUGGGGCAGAGCUGAUCCCUGUGCCAGGGCUGCAAUCAUUGGGUGCUGGCAGAGAAAUGUUCCCUUGAAUUGUGACACAGCCAUUUUCAUCUCACAGGAUGAGAUACAGGAGAGACAGACAAUGACCUUGUACUUUAUAUGGAGUGCUUCAUCCUUGUAAUCUCAGAGCACUUUAUAAAUAGAUAGAAGACAUCAAAGAAGGAAAAGAGUGCUC
rnacentral:lncRNA from 1 species